UAACUGUACGUAUAUUUGUCGGCAUCAGGUUAUACGAGUCAUGAAAGAAACUCAUACAUCGAAACAUAGUCAAAUUAGGUACCUAUUAAAAAAUAAAAAAAAAAAAAUAAAAAAAAAAAACCGAAUAUAAAACAUAUAUUAUAAUGAUUAUAUUUGAACGUAUGAGUGUAGUAUGAGCUCGUAUAAGCUCGUAGGUAGAACAUAUAUUUAAACUCGUUUUGAACCCACACCGACGUAAUAGUAAUAAUAUAAUAUUUUUGGCCUACUAUUAGGGUUACGGUAUUUUUUUUUUCCAGAUUCAAUGCGUAGUGUGAAAAAACUGUUUCGGGUAGGGGGGAAACACUUUUUAAAAUGCUCUCGUUUUUUUCACGCACCGUGUGUCAGAGGUACCUUCCUCGGAAAGAUGCGGAUUUGAAUAAAUUUGAUAAAAUCCUCCAGACAACUUUCAUUAAAAAUUAAAACAAAAAACAGAUUAGAAAUUGAUGUCGGAAUUGCACGAGUUAACAAAGUUCCGCUCAGAAUCGUUUUUUUUUAUUACAAUGUUUCACCGUUGCUCCCGGCAUAAUAUGGAAACUAAAAUACCACUUGGAUAUCUAAUAUAAAUAAAACAAAAUCUUCUAAAUUUCCUAUCUACAACAGCGGCAUACUUAUGAUGCGAAAUAUGUCCGGCAUUUUUUUUCAUCUAAUGGUCAAUAAAUGUAUCGUGUACAAAUAUUAUUAUAAUUAUAAAUACU